rnacentral:rRNA from 1 species
GGACUACAGGGGUUUCUAAUCCUGUUUGAUCCCCACACUUUCGUGCAUCAGCGUCAGUUACAGUCUGGUAAGCUGCCUUCGCUAUCGGUGUUCUUGACGAUAUCUAUGCAUUUCACCGCUACACCGUCAAUUCCGCCUACCUCGUCUGUACUCAAGUUCCCCAGUAUCAAUGGCACCUCAACCGUUAAGCGGCUGUAUUUCACCACUGACUUAAGGAACCGCCUACGCACCCUUUAAACCCAAUAAAUCCGGACAACGCUUGCCACCUACGUAUUACCGCGGCUGCUGGCAC